GGGCGCUUGGUUUAGUGGUAUAAUUCUCGCUGUCCUGGGUUCGAUUCCCAGAGUGUCCA
rnacentral:tRNA from 1 species